AUGUCAAUUAUGCUCAUCUCCACAUUCCUCGUUCUACUUGUUCCAGUUUGCUUGUAUCUCAGGGCUAGUUGUAGAUCAAAGAACCCAGCCGUGCUUCCCACAGACUGGCCAAUACUGCACAUGUUCCCUUCCUUCAUGGCCAACCUCCACAACCUCUAUGACUAUUUCACCCUGGUCCUCGCAAGAUCAGGCCACAACUUCAGGGCGCAUGGACCACCUGGCACUGGGAUGCGCCUCUUCAUCACAUGUGACCCUGCGAACGCCGACACAUCUUCACGACAAACCAUGCCAACUUCCCCAAGGGCACGGAAUUCGCCGAUAUCUUCGACAUCAUGGGUGGCAGCCUCUUCACCAUCGACGGUGAGCCAUGCCGCCGACAACAUGCGAAAGCCAAGAGCAUGCUCAGCAGCCCGCGGAUCGUUGCCAGUAUGGCGGCCUACCUCUGUGGCAAGGUGGAGAACAACCUCCUCCCUUUGUUCACCCGCAUGGCGAUCGCCGACACUUCAUUCGACAUGCAAGAAUUGA
rnacentral:rRNA from 1 species